GUCUCUCCAUCUCCCCCUAGUGGCCAGCUCAGGCGGUGUCUCUCUAUCUCCCCCCUAGUGGCCGGCUCCGGCGGUGUCUCUCUAUCUCCCCCUAGUGGCCGGCUCCGGCACUGUCUCUCUAUCUCCCCCUAGUGGCCGGCUACGGCAGGGUCUCUCUAUCUCCCCUAGUGGCCGGCUCCGGCAGUGUCUCUCUAUCUCCCCCUAGUGGCCGGCAGUGUCUCUCUAUCUCCCCCUAGUGGCCGGCAGUGUCUCUCUAUCUCCCCCUAGUGGCCGGCUCCGGCGGUGUCUCUCUAUCUC